GUCGUCGUCUUCUAGCUCAUGGGCGAGGUAGGAGAGGAGCACGAUGUUGGCAAGGAGGUGGAGGAGGAAGAGUAAGAGGAAGCAGGAGAAGAAAGAGAGCAAGAAGAGACAAAAUAAGAAUAUUUUGGUCAGUUUUUAAAAAAUUCAGUCAGAAUCUAUAAAAAACGAAAAAAAGGUGAACCACUUUGCAAAAUUCUACUAAUAUUUUAUGUAAAUAAAUAUAGAUUUUUAUAUUAAAAUUAAAUUUUUAUUUAUGUUUCUGUUGUAUCCGUGCCCUAUUCUUUUGUCAAGUUGUUGUAUGCAAGUCAUGUCAUAUCUCGUGGUUCAUAUCAGUGUUUAUAUAAUAAAACUUGUUUUGCAUUAAAAUUGAAU
rnacentral:lncRNA from 1 species